UGACAAUUACUGAGUAAUUGCUUUGCUUAUUGCAUGCUAAUUGCUGAAAAUUGCUUUUUAUUUUAAAUUCCUUAGCUAAAAAUUGCUUUUUCUUUCACAUUUCUCUGCUUAUUGAAUGACUAUUGCUAACUCAUUAGAUAGAACCUACUUCUCAUAUAAGUAGGUGGAUGCGGCCUCGAUUAGCGGGGGAACCACAUGAAAAAAAGCGAGCUACUGGGUGUACCUCCUGGGUAGUUUGGAAAUCACCUAAUAUAUAUAUGUAUAUAUUUAUAAAUAAAAGUUAAUAUAUAUAAAUUAACAUUAUUUUUUUUUAACAGGAAAUGCACAAUGCUAAAAACUGCGUAGGAGAUUUUAAUACAAUAGUACUACCAAGCCUGAUGUUGGCCGCUAUUUCAAUGAAUGCAGCAGUGUGACAGCUAGCAAUCAAAAGUAACAAGAUAUCGAGGAAAUGCAGAUGGCAAUAAACUGUGUAGGAGUUCAUGAUUGCAAUAGAAUAAAAUCGACCAAGCCUGAAGUCAGCAGCCCCUUCAAUGAAUGCAGCAGUGUGACAGCCAGCAAUCAAAAGUUACAAGAUAUCGAGGAAAUGCAGAAGGAAAAAAACUGCGUAGGAGAUCAUUAAUACAAUAGUAUUAUAUAAACCAAGCCUGAUGUUGGCCGCUCAUUCAAAGAAUGCAGCAGUGUGACAGCCAGCAAUCAAAAGUAACAAGAUGUCGAGGAAAUGCAGAGUGCAAUAAACUGUGUAGGAGAUUAUGAUUGCAAUAGAAUAAAAUCGACCAAGCCUGAAGUCCUUCAAUGCACGCAGCAGUGUGACAGCCAGCAAUCAAAAGUUACAAGAUAUCGAGGAAAUGCAGAAGGCAAAAAACUGCGUAGGAGAUUAUUAAUACAAUAGUAUUAUAUCAACCAAGCCUGAUGUCGGUAGCUUCUUCAAUGAAUGCAGCAGUGUGACAGCCAGCAAUCAAUAGUGACAAGAAUCUAGGAAAUACAGAAGGCAAAGAAGCAGAUGUCAUCAAAGAAGAUCUUUGUUCCUGCAAUGUUUCCGCAGACGAUACAUCCAACAGAGCGAAGUGGAAGGAAAAGACUCGGAAUAAAGACCCCACCACCAUAUGGGAACAAUGCAAGGGAGAG
rnacentral:lncRNA from 1 species